rnacentral:rRNA from 1 species
GAUGAACGCUGGCGGCGUGCCUAAUACAUGCAAGUCGAGCGAACGGACGAGAAGCUUGCUUCUCUGAUGUUAGCGGCGGACGGGUGAGUAACACGUGGAUAACCCACCUAUAAGACUGGGAUAACUUCGGGAAACCGGAGCUAAUACCGGAUAAUAUUUUGAACCGUAUGGUUCAAAAGUGAAAGACGGUCUUGCUGUCACUUAUAGAUGGAUCGGCGCUGCUUUAGCUAGUUGGUAAGGUAACGGCUUACCAAGGCAACGAUGCAUAGCCGACCUGACAGGGUGAUCGGCCACACUGGGAGAGCGACACGAUCCAGACUGAGACAGGAGGCAGCAGUAUGGAGGCGUCCGCAGUGGGCGAAAGUGUGACGUGGCAGCACCGCUGAAGGAAUAAAGGUGUUCGGAUGGUAAAGCUCUUUUAUUAGUGAAGAGCAUAUGUGUAAGAAGCUGUGCACGUCAUGACGGUACCUAAACAGAAAGCCACGGCGAACGAC